rnacentral:rRNA from 1 species
UACGGAGGUGGCAAGCGUUGCUCGGAAUCACUGGGCGUAAAGGGCGCGUAGGCGGGGAGGUAAGUCGGGUGUGAAAUCCCUCGGCCCAACCGAGGAACUGCGCCCGAGACUGCUUCUCUUGAGUCCCGGAGAGGAAGAUGGAAUUCCCGGUGUAGCGGUGAAAUGUGUAGAGAUCGGGAGGAACACCGGUGGCGAAGGCGGUCUUCUGGACGGUGACUGACGCUGAGGCGCGAAAGCUAGGGGAGCAAACGGG